AUUGAACGCUGGCGGCAUGCUUUACACAUGCAAGUCGAACGGUAACAGGCCGCAAGGUGCUGACGAGUGGCGAACGGGUGAGUAAUGCAUCGGAACGUGCCCAGUCGUGGGGGAUAACGCAGCGAAAGCUGCGCUAAUACCGCAUACGAUCUCUGGAUGAAAGCGGGGGACCGAAAGGCCUCGCGCUAUUGGAGCGGCCGAUGUCAGAUUAGGUUGUUGGUGGGGUAAAAGCCUACCAAGCCGACGAUCUGUAGCUGGUCUGAGAGGACGACCAGCCACACUGGGACUGAGACACGGCCCAGACUCCUACGGGAGGCAGCAGUGGGGAAUUUUGGACAAUGGGGGCAACCCUGAUCCAGCCAUGCCGCGUGCGGGAAGAAGGCCUUCGGGUUGUAAACCGCUUUUGUCAGGGAAGAAACGCGCUGAGCUAAUAUCUCGGCGUAAUGACGGUACCUGAAGAAUAAGCACCGGCUAACUACGUGCCAGCAGCCGCGGUAACAC
rnacentral:rRNA from 1 species